rfam:Triticum aestivum genome assembly, contig: Triticum_aestivum_CS42_TGACv1_scaffold_225711_3B
AUGGACGUGAGGAUCCUUUCCCCAAAUGAUCGACGGUGAUUAUGCUAUGCGUAACUUUAAUCCUUUAUCAGAAGAUUCCAAGCCAUAAAUCUGAUCCAA